UACGGGGGGGCAAGCGUUGUUCGGAAUUACUGGGCGUAAAGGGCUCGUAGGUGGCCAACUAAGUCAGACGUGAAAUCCCUCGGCUUAACCGGGGAACUGCGUCUGAUACUGGAUGGCUUGAGUUCGGGAGAGGGAUGCGGAAUUCCAGGUGUAGCGGUGAAAUGCGUAGAUAUCUAGAGGAACACCGGUGGCGAAGGCGGCAUCCUGGACCGACACUGACACUGAGGAGCGAAAGCCAGGGGAGCAAACGGG
rnacentral:rRNA from 1 species